UACGUGAGGGGGCUAGCGUUGUCCGGAUUUAUUGGGCGUAAAGAGCGUGUAGGCGGCCAGAUAGGUCUGCUGUGAAAACUCGAGGCUCAACCUCGAGAUGUCGGCGGAAACCAUCUGGCUAGAGUCCGGAAGAGGAAAGUGGAAUUCCCGGUGUAGCGGUGAAAUGCGCAGAUAUCGGGAAGAACACCCGUGGCGAAGGCGGCUUUCUGGGACGGUACU
rnacentral:rRNA from 1 species